UGAGUGCGAGCGGCUACGGCCGCGAAGUGGGUGAUGUCAAGCUUCCAAGAAAAGCCCUAUACCCGUUAAGGCAUGAUGGCCUGUACCCGAAACCGACACAGGUGGGGUGGUAGAGAAUACCGAGGGGCGCGAGGUAACUCUCUCUAAGGAACUCGGCAAAAUGGCCCCGUAACUUCGGGAGAAGGGGUGCCACCGCAGGGUGGUCGCAGUGAAGAGGCCCAGGCGACUGUUUACCAAAAACACAGGUCUCCGCUAAGUCGCAAGACGAUGUAUGGGGGCUGACGCCUGCCCAGUGCCGGAAGGUUAAGGAAGCUGGUCAGCGCAAGCGAAGCUGGCGACUGAAGCCCCGGUGUACGGCGGCCGUAACAAUAACGGUCCUAAGGUAGCGAAAUUCCUUGUCGGGUAAGUUCCGACCCGCACGAAAGGCGUAACGAUCUGGGCGCUGUCUCGGAGAGAGGCUCGGCGAAAUAGAAUUGUCUGUGAAGAUGCGGACUACGUGCACCCGGACAGAAAGACCCUAUGAAGCUUUACUGUAGCUUGGUAUUGUGCCCGGGCUCUGAAUGCGCAGGAUAGGUGGGAGGCUUUGAUCCAUGGCUUGCGGGUCAUGGUGAGCCAACGGUGAGAUACCACUCUUUCAGAGCUAGGGUUCUAACGGUCACCCGUCAUCCGGGGACCGGACAGUAUCAGGUGGGCAGUUUGACUGGGGCGGUCGCCUCCUAAAAGGUAACGGAGGCGCGCAAAGGUUUGCUCAGGCUGGUUGGAAAUCAGCCGACGAGUGCAAAAGCAGAAGCAAGCUUGACUGUGAGACCUACAAGUCGAACAGGGACGAAAGUCGGCUUUAGUGAUCCGACGGUUCUGAGUGGAAGGGCCGUCGCUCAACGGAUAAAAGUUACUCUAGGAUAACAGGCUGAUCUCCCCCAAGAGUACACAUCGACGGGGAGGUUUGGCACCUCGAUGUCGGCUCAUCGCAACCUGGGGCUGAAGUCGGUCCCAAGGGUUGGGCUGUUCGCCCAUUAAAGCGGUACGCGAGCUGGGUUCAGAACGUCGUGAGACAGUUCGGUCCAUAUCCGGUGCACGCGCAGGAACAUUGAGAGGAUUUCUCCCUAGUACGAGAGGACCGGGAGGAACGCACCUCUGGUGUGCCAGUUAUCGUGCCAACGGUAAACGCUGGGUAGCCAUGUGCGGAGUGGAUAACCGCUGAAAGCAUCUAAGUGGGAAGCCCACCUCAAGAUGAGUGUUCCCAUGGCAUAAGCCAGUAAGGUCACGGGAAGAACACCCGUUGAUAGGCUCUACGUGGAAGCCGGGUAACCGGUGAAGCGGAGGAGUACUAAUAGACCGAGGGCUUGACC
rnacentral:rRNA from 1 species